AGAGCCAACAAUAGUCAACGGUGGGUGGAACUAACGGACACGCGAACGUGAAAUGCUGAUGCCACCGGCGACACCAAAACUACUGAGAAAUUGAGAAGUGUGGAGUGACUUUAAACAGCAAGAAGAAGGCAACUCGCAUACACAGAGCUGCCAAGGGAACACUGGACUGGUGGCGGUCCAGGUUCUUCCCUGAAGCCAAAGGAUUUAGAGCAGAGUGCUUGUAAAUAACUACUUGUAAAUUAAAUCCAUAAUAAAGACCUAGGGUAACUGGAUGGAUAUACCUACCUUAUUAUUGUAAAACUUAAGAUAUUAUAAUUAAUUAAAUACA